CAAGGCAUUGUUAUACUAGUCAAGCUGGUUGCUAAGGUUUUGCUAUCAUAUCAUAUAUGACAUCAUAGUUUAGGUGGUUGCCAAGGUGUUGCUAUGGUAGUGUAGGUGGUUGCUUGGGGUUUGCUUUUAAUAGUCAAGCUGGGAACUAGGGUGUUGAUAUGGUUGUUUAGGUAAUUGACAGUGUUUUGUUUUGGUAGAGGUAGUUGAUAGAUUGGUGAUAUGGUACUUGUGAUGGUUAGGUGUUGGGAUGGUAGUUGGUGUGGUUGCUAGGGCAUUGCUAUAGUAGUCAAGCUGGUUAACAGCGUGUUACUAAGGAAGCUUAGUUGAUUUCUGUGGUGGUUGUAAUGGUGUUGCUAUGGCAGUUUAGAUUGUUGCUAGGGUGUUGCUAUGGUAAUUGAGGUGGUUGCUGCUGUUGUUGUUAGGUUGUUGCUAUGGUACUUAUGAUUGUUGCCAAAAUGUUUCUAUGACCGUUCCUGUGGUUUCUGUGGUAGCUGCUUGGUUAUUACAAUGGUAGUCAAGUUGGUUGCUUAGGUAUUGAUACUGUAUAAAAUCAUAAUUUUGUCUAUGUAGAAAGGCAGAUAAUCAGUUAUAAUAUAAAUAGAAUGUCGAAUAUCUAUCCUUUGCUGACAUUUUGUUGAGACUUUUUAUGGCACUUUUUCAGGUGCUGUGUACACCUAAAGAAUACAAUAAAUACACCAGGUACACCAAAACAGUUCAGCUCUCUUGGGAGAAGCUGUAUUAUGAGCAGCAGAAAAAGCUGCUGAAAGACUUUCUGACCUUGAAAGAGAAGGGUGGCAUUCCCUGUAAUAUCCACUUGUCAGAUAUGAGAGACUGGCUUGUCCACAGCGGUGCAGACAUGUGCAACAAGAUGUUCCAGAAACCGUCAGGGAACAGACGGGAUCUGCACCUUGCUAAAUUGACAUGGGAAGUGAAUCGGCGGCUCAAGCUGGAGGAGAUAGAGAGAGAGGUGUGCCGGGAACUACGUCUGGAGCGUUCCUCCAAGAUACCAAUCUCCCACAGAAGCGAGGUAAGGGUUUGGAAAGCUCUGAGUAAGUCUUCAAGUCAAUAUAACAAUAAUCGUAAAUUCUCUAUGUCUUUCCUUCGUCUCUUUCACAUUGCAGAUUAUGAAAACUGUGGAGUGGGUCCCACCUCCAGACUCUUAUGGACCAGGUCCACGUGACCUCACUUCCCCAUCAGGAGCAUCAAGUGACGGUUUCUACACAUCUUCUAUGACUUUUGACUCUUUUGACUCGUAAGUUGUUUUUACGAAUUGAUACACCACUAAAAGAGAUUGCCAUUUCCACAGUAGUCUU
rnacentral:lncRNA from 1 species